AUUGAACGCUGGCGGCAUGCUUUACACAUGCAAGUCGAGCGGACACACGCCUUGCUUUCCUGUCUAGUGGCGGACGGGGGCGUAAUGCAUCAACGCGUACCCACAGCUUAUGGAUAACGCAGCAAAACCUGUGCUAGUACCUCAUGUGAUCUGAUGAUUAAAACGGCGGACCUCACUACAAUAUUUCGCUUCUCCCCUCUCUUACAGCCGAUGUCGCAUUAGCUAGUUUGGGUGGUAAAGUCCUACCAAGGCAACGAUCCGUAGCUGGUCUGAGAGGACGAUCAGCCACACUGGAACUGAGACACGGCCCAGACUCCUACGGGAGGCAGCAGUGGGGAAUUUUGGACAAUGGGCGCAAGCCUGACCCAGCAAUGCCGCGUGAGUGAAGAAGGCCUUCGGGUUGUAAACCGCUGUUGGCAGGAAAGAAAAGGUGUCAGAUAAUCCCGGGACGUAAUGACGGUACCUGCAGAAAAAGCAACGGCUAACUACGUG
rnacentral:rRNA from 1 species